UCCCGGAUGUUAGCGGCGGACGGGUGAGUAACACGUGGGUAACCUGCCUGUAAGACUGGGAUAACUCCGGGAAACCGGAGCUAAUACCGGAUAGUUCCUUGAACCGCAUGGUUCAAGGAUGAAAGACGGUUUCGGCUGUCACUUACAGAUGGACCCGCGGCGCAUUAGCUAGUUGGUGAGGUAACGGCUCACCAAGGCGACGAUGCGUAGCCGACCUGAGAGGGUGAUCGGCCACACUGGGACUGAGACACGGCCCAGACUCCUACGGGAGGCAGCAGUAGGGAAUCUUCCGCAAUGGACGAAAGUCUGACGGAGCAACGCCGCGUGAGUGAUGAAGGUUUUCGGAUCGUAAAGCUCUGUUGUUAGGGAAGAACAAGUGCAAGAGUAACUGCUUGCACCUUGACGGUACCUAACCAGAAAGCCACGGCUAACUACGUGCCAGCAGCCGCGGUAAUACGUAGGUGGCAAGCGUUGUCCGGAAUUAUUGGGCGUAAAGGGCUCGCAGGCGGUUUCUUAAGUCUGAUGUGAAAGCCCCCGGCUCAACCGGGGAGGGUCAUUGGAAACUGGGAAACUUGAGUGCAGAAGAGGAGAGUGGAAUUCCACGUGUAGCGGUGAAAUGCGUAGAGAUGUGGAGGAACACCAGUGGCGAAGGCGACUCUC
rnacentral:rRNA from 1 species